rnacentral:rRNA from 1 species
UUUGAUGGCGACCGGCGCACGGGUGAGUAACACGUAUCCAACCUGCCGAUGACUCGGGGAUAGCCUUUCGAAAGAAAGAUUAAUAUCCGAUGGCAUAGUUCUUCCGCAUGGUAGAACUAUUAAAGAAUUUCGGUCAUCGAUGGGGAUGCGUUCCAUUAGGUUGUUGGCGGGGUAACGGCCCACCAAGCCUUCGAUGGAUAGGGGUUCUGAGAGGAAGGUCCCCCACAUUGGAACUGAGACACGGUCCAAACUCCUACGGGAGGCAGCAUG